GACGAACGCUGGCGGCGUGCUUAACACAUGCAAGUCGAACGGAAAGGCCCUGCUUUUGUGGGGUGCUCGAGUGGCGAACGGGUGAGUAACACGUGAGUAACCUGCCCUUGACUUUGGGAUAACUUCAGGAAACUGGGGCUAAUACCGGAUAGGAGCUCCUGCUGCAUGGUGGGGGUUGGAAAGUUUCGGCGGUUGGGGAUGGACUCGCGGCUUAUCAGCUUGUUGGUGGGGUAGUGGCUUACCAAGGCUUUGACGGGUAGCCGGCCUGAGAGGGUGACCGGCCACAUUGGGACUGAGAUACGGCCCAGACUCCUACGGGAGGCAGCAGUGGGGAAUAUUGCACAAUGGGCGGAAGCCGGAUGCAGCAACGCCGCGUGCGGGAUGACGGCCUUCGGGUGGUAAACCGCUUUCGCCUGUGACGAAGCGUGAGUGACGGUAAUGGGGAAAGAAGCACCGGCUAACUACGU
rnacentral:rRNA from 1 species